GGGGAGCCCUAAUCCAAUAGGACUGGUGUCCUUAUGAAAAGGGGAAAUCUGGACACAGCACACGGUGAGGAGACUAUGUGAACACGAAGAAGCCUACUGAGAUGGUUAAUAUUGAGUGUCAAUGUGAUUGGAUUGAAGGAUGCAAGGUGCUGUUCCUGGGUGUGUCUGUGCGGGUGUUUCCAAAGGAGGUUAACAUUUAAGUCAGCGGAUGAAGAGAGACAGACCCACCCUCAAUUUGGGUUGGUACCAUCUAAUCAGCUGCCAGCGAGCCAAGAGAAAAGCAGGCAGGAGAAGAUGGAACAACACACUUGCUGAGUCUUCCGGCCUUUAUCUUUCUCCCAUGCUGGAUCCUUCCUGCCCUGGAACAUCGGACUCCAAGUUCUUCAGCUUUUGGACUCUUGGACUUACACCAGUGGUUUGCCAGGGGCUCUUGGGGCCUUUGACCACAGCCUGAAGGCUACACUAUCGGCUUCUCUAUUUUUGAGAGAACCCUAAUACACUCAUCUACAAGCCAAGGAGAGAGGCCUGUAACAGGUAUCUCCUCCCAGUCCUCAGAAGGAACCAACCCUGCCAACACCUUGACUUCAACCUUCUGGCCUACAGAACUAUGAGACAAUAAAUUUUGUUGUUUAAGCUACCCAAUUUGUGGUGCUUUGUUACAGCAGCUCUAGCAAACUAAUAGACUUAACUUCUGUGAACCUCAAUUUCCUCAUCUGUGAAAGGGGA
rnacentral:lncRNA from 1 species